GCGCCUCUCUUAACCUUGUCCUUUAUAGCUAUGCCUUUGUCCUCUUCUCCAUUUUUGACUAAAAUUCAACCUCCAACAAUCAAAGUACAAUCUUUGUCCGCCCCAUUUCAAGCAAAAUAAGAGCUUCUCUCAUCCGAUUUUGGCGUGUAUAGAUGACCAAGAGAUGAUCCUCCCAUUUUUACACUACAAGACUUGUCGAAUCUCUCUACCUCAGUCGAGAUCUUACCAUUUCGUGCAAGAACUGAGCGAAUCACGUGAAUCCCUAUUACUAUGCCAACGUUCGGAUUUGAACGGCUCUGUUUGACUUCAUUUGAAAUCUGAAAAUUUCAAAUCCCGCUCAGAAACGGAACCCUAGUUUUCUCCUAUAAAUACUCCUCAACUCUCCAGCCGAAAGAUCAUCUUUUGGAAUCCUGGAAAAUAGAUAGAACACGGCAAAAUCGAAUCAAUAAGUAAUUCUCUUCUUUUCUGUAAUCUCUGUCCCUAUUUAGUUAGCUAAAACAGAGUUUCGAUCUUGUUACGUGGAGGGAGUAAAUUUGAAGCUUCUCAAACUCCCGUUCACUGCACCACACCAGAAUCAGAGCCAAAGAGUUUCAAUUUAAGACUCAACGACGCCAUAAAAAUCGCAUGGAGUCAGCACACUUUGAUGUUUCACUGCUUAUGUAGCGACAAAACAACAAAAUUAUUCCGCAUGGCGGUUCUGGCGGAGAAGCCAGUCAAUUGUCCUUUACAUUUCUGCAUUAAUCACAAUGUUGCUUCUUUGUGUUUGGUGACAGUUUAAAUAGUCAUAUUUUAGAAUCUUAAUUGUUAUGUGAUACUAUAUCAAUUCGGCGAGGCGUCUUUCUAGAUAAUAAUAGAGAUACUCAUCACAUAGAACACAUCUUGACAUAGGGAAUAUUAACAACAUUGGUUUUUCAACUAUAUAAUUGUUUUUCUUAUUUGAA